UGGUCUCAACCAGUUGAUAUCUCCCAAGA
rnacentral:piRNA from 1 species